ensembl:lncRNA
AGCAUCACUCCCACCAUGUUCUAUUGACAAAGAGUCCAGGAGCAGCCUAGACUCAAAGGAGGUGAAAAGAGUCUGUCUCUUAAUGUGGAAAUGAUGAGGUCAAACUGCAAAAUCAUCUGUGGAAUGGGAGAUGUGAUUCAUCAACCAUCUCUGCAAAGGCCUGAUGAGUAAAUUGGUGGUGCGUGAGUGACACAGCAUGUGUACGAAAUAGGAGUCGUCCUACUCGUGCUGUUCUUAAAUGGGCUGCUUUUCAAUACAUGUCAGACACUUCUUCAAGUUAAU